rnacentral:tRNA from 1 species
UACCCCGUGGUGUAACGGUAGCACAAGAGGUUCUGGUCCUCUUAGUCAAGGUUCGAAUCCUUGCGGGGUAACCA